rfam:Staphylococcus aureus subsp. aureus NCTC 8325, complete genome.
CGAGGUUCUUUUGAUGCAGUUGCCGUCGAUAACACGACUGUAUCUCCAUAACGAACCAAUACAGCGCCAUUUGCUUGUUUAGCUAAUUGCCCUGUUUCAAUCGUUAAAGAUCUUCCUGCCCAUUCAGUUUUAAAAACUUUCUUUUCUUGAGACAUUAUAAAUCUCCUCUCUUGAAUCUAAUA